GCAGAAAUGGCUCUGAGAAGAGGAACAAACUCUUCCAACAGUCCCUGUGUAGCCCAUGCUGAGGCACCACCAACACCACUCCUAACUGAGAUGAAUAUUUCACCUGGAGGAACCAGAGGCUGCUCUCACUUGAGGGAAAUAGCAACAAAACCAACCUGGCACUUGCUUGGCUUUUCCCUUCCACAGAAAGAGAGGGAGAAAAACUACUGUGUAAGCCUCUUUAAAAGCAACCCAGUCCCUGGCUGAGGGGUCUCCUUGUCUGCCAGUGAUCCUGAGGAGCAAAAAUCAGUUUCUACACAAGAAAAUGGGGUACAACUUGAGAU